rnacentral:rRNA from 1 species
CGUCACACUAUCAUUAACUGAAUCCAUAGGUUAAUGAGGCGAACCGGGGGAACUGAAACAUCUAAGUACCCCGAGGAAAAGAAAUCAACCGAGAUUCCCCCAGUAGCGGCGAGCGAACGGGGAGGAGCCCAGAGCCUGAAUCAGUGUGUGUGUUAGUGGAAGCGUCUGGAAAGGCGCGCGAUACAGGGUGACAGCCCCGUACACAAAAAUGCACAUGCUGUGAGCUCGAUGAGUAGGGCGGGACACGUGGUAUCCUGUCUGAAUAUGGGGGGACCAUCCUCCAAGGCUAAAUACUCCUGACUGACCGAUAGUGAACCAGUACCGUGAGGGAAAGGCGAAAAGAACCCCGGCGAGGGGAGUGAAAAAGAACCUGAAACCGUGUACGUACAAGCAGUGGGAGCCUCUUUAUGGGGUGACUGCGUACCUUUUGUAUAAUGGGUCAGCGACUUAUAUUCUGUAGCAAGGUUAACCGAAUAGGGGAGCCGAAGGGAAACCGAGUCUUAACUGGGCGUUAAGUUGCAGGGUAUAGACCCGAAACCCGGUGAUCUAGCCAUGGGCAGGUUGAAGGUUGGGUAACACUAACUGGAGGACCGAACCGACUAAUGUUGAAAAAUUAGCGGAUGACUUGUGGCUGGGGGUGAAAGGCCAAUCAAACCGGGAGAUAGCUGGUUCUCCCCGAAAGCU